AAACUAACCCUCUCUGCCGCGAUUCAUCAUAAAUCGUCAUCAUCUCCACCAUCAAACAUCUUCAAACCCCUUCAUCCGCCGGCGAAACCUCGGCUUUAACCGCCACGAGCUCAAGCUCGCCGCAACCCAUCAACAAACCUUCGUCUCACCGUCACUCGCCUCCUUCACCACCGCUCAACAACACAAAAACCGCUUCACAAUCCAAACGCGACCUGCAACCCUUUAACCCUAAACUACCGCCGUUCAACCUCACGAUCUCAAACCCCUGUCGUCGGAAUCGCGACCGUCAUCAACAACCUAACCUCACCAGAAUCCGCCGCCGCCACAACUCAAAGAGACAACAUGAGUUUCGUCUUCAACAAAACGACGAGACGUUGACAAAGCCUCGUCUCAUAUCAGUCGGUGUUUGCAACACAAAAAGCAUUCCUAAUUCGGUUGGUUUUCGCAUCUGUGGUUUAACUCUUUUCUUAUGGUGUUUACUGGUUGAUUCCUGUUAAAGCUUUGCUCAAACCCAGCUGUUUUCCUGAGGAUAUUUAAAUCAUGGAAUUAAUUUGUGUAUCUUCGAUUUUAAUUUCUCAUUUCCUUCUGUUUGCUAUUAAAAGUUCAAUAUCAGACUAUUAAAUUUCUGCAAAAAAUGUAUAUAUGGUUGAUACGUUUGACAGUUAGGUAGCCAAGGAAGUAAUGGUAAUCUGUUAUGGUUUUCCUUUGCAUUAUGUGGUCACUCUGCAUUCCAAUCGAAUUUUGUUUUGUGGUUUAGAUAUUUGAUUUGUGAACUUUUGGAGUUUCGAUUACAAGCAUGAAAUUACUAUUUGCGUUGUGUUGCGAUUACCACCGUUUUGUGAUAGCUGGUGUUUACUAUUGUUAUAUUUUGAAUUUUUACCCUGAUUGUGCACUUCAACAUACCGUCCAGUUUUGUGUUAAGAAUGGUGUGGUUGUAUUUGUUUAUUGUUAGACUUGUGAGUGUGGGUUUAUCAGUUUGUUUUAGGUCACAGCGAAUAAUUUCCUGCUGGCUGCUAUGCUGUUGUUGUUUAUUUCUUUUUUUUUGCAUGUCAGUCCCACAAUUUGGGUAACAAUUUGAUUUGGGUUUAUGUUGCUGUUAUACUCAUCGUUCCCUCAAUUCGAUUACAUUAUUCUGUGUUUAAAGAUUGGGAUUAUCACAUUGAAAAUUUUGAGUGGAUUACUGGACAUUUAUUUUCAGCUAAGUGCACCUGUUGAAUUCUUUUGGAUGUGAGCACCAUUACAGGUUGAUUAUUUGAUGUCCAAUACUUACAGGUUAUAGAAUAUUAUUUAGUUUUGUAAGUAGAUGGUGAGAUAUCAAGAGUAUCAUGCGUGCCUGCUAUAUUUCCUUUGAUAUUAUCUCAGUUCAUGGGAAGUGAAAAAAAAGGUCAAUCUUAUUUUAAGGAUAGUUGGUCAUAACUAAUAAAUUGAUUGUUUUGGUGUUGAUAGAUAAAAGUCAAGAAUUCAGAUCAUGGGCCUCUAAAUCAAUGUUAAUACCUAUUUUUCUCUUUGAACUUAAUUAAUUGUUUAAAAUAUUUAAUUAGUUUAAUUUUUAUUAAUUAAUUGUAAUUAACU
rnacentral:lncRNA from 1 species